rnacentral:lncRNA from 1 species
UUUUGCUCGGCGGCGCGGCAGACAGACGUGUACACGUGUGCCUGGCCGUUUUUCGAUCUGCGAAAUGCGCCAGCAGCUACAGUCCGUGUACAGCCCUGCAGCCUUGUACCACUGCAGGUAGUAAAGCUGGAGAGCCACUGUUUGGCAACCAGGUCCAGGCAGGCUUGGAGCUGACAGCAUCUCAUUCUGUGGCUUCCUGCCCAGGGGCUCCUCGGAUGCCGGAGUGCCCAGGUGAACACUUGGGAGACACAUUUCAUAUGGCUUCUCGGGGUCCCGUGGGCUGGAGCCCCCAGUCACGGCAGUCAGCUCAGCGUGCAUCCUCACUGUGCCCCCCCAGCCCAGCCUCCCUGUCCUUCACUUCUGCUCCUUGGGACCACAUUCCCUAAUAAACACCUACACUGAGGUAUUUUUUCCUCAG